rnacentral:rRNA from 1 species
UACGUAGGGGGCAAGCGUUGUCCGGAAUUAUUGGGCGUAAAGAGCGCGUAGGCGGUCCGAUAAGUCGGCUGUGAAAGUCAGGGGCUCAACCCUUGAAAGCCGGCCGAUACUGUCGGACUAGAGUCCGGAAGAGGCGAGUGGAAUUCCCGGUGUAGCGGUGAAAUGCGCAGAUAUCGGGAGGAACACCAAUGGCGAAGGCAGCUCGCUGGGACGGUACUGACGCUGAGGCGCGAAAAGCGUGGGGGAGCAAACAGGG